AAUCAACGCUGGCGGCGUGCCUCAGACAUGCAAGUCGAACGCGAAAGUCCCCUUCGGGGGACGAAGUAGAGUGGCGCACGGGUGAGUAACACGUAGGUAAUCUACCUUCGGAUGGGGAAGUAACAACCGGAAACGGUUGCUAAUACCGCAUAAUGCAGCGGCACCUAAUGGUGACAGUUGUUAAAGCGGGGGAUCGAAAGACCCGCGUCUGAAGAGGAGCCUGCGGCGGAUUAGCUAGUUGGAAGGUAAUGGCUUACCAAGGCGACGAUCCGUACGCCGGCCUGAGAGGGCGGUCGGCCACACUGACACUGACAUACGGGUCAGACUCCUACGGGAGGCAGC
rnacentral:rRNA from 1 species